rnacentral:rRNA from 1 species
AGGGUUUGAUCAUGGCUCAGGAUGAACGCUAGCUACAGGCUUAACACAUGCAAGUCGAGGGGCAGCAUGGUCUUAGCUUGCUAAGGCCGAUGGCGACCGGCGCACGGGUGAGUAACACGUAUCCAACCUGCCGUCUACUCUUGGACAGCCUUCUGAAAGGAAGAUUAAUACAAGAUGGCAUCAUGAGUCCGCAUGUUCACAUGAUUAAAGGUAUUCCGGUAGACGAUGGGGAUGCGUUCCAUUAGAUAGUAGGCGGGGUAACGGCCCACCUAGUCUUCGAUGGAUAGGGGUUCUGAGAGGAAGGUCCCCCACAUUGGAACUGAGACACGGUCCAAACUCCUACGGGAGGCAGCAGUGAGGAAUAUUGGUCAAUGGGCGAGAGCCUGAACCAGCCAAGUAGCGUGAAGGAUGACUGCCCUAUGGGUUGUAAACUUCUUUUAUAAAGGAAUAAAGUCGGGUAUGCAUACCCGUUUGCAUGUACUUUAUGAAUAAGGAUCGGCUAACUCCGUGCCAGCAGCCGCGGUAAUACGGAGGAUCCGAGCGUUAUCCGGAUUUAUUGGGUUUAAAGGGAGCGUAGAUGGAUGUUUAAGUCAGUUGUGAAAGUUUGCGGCUCAACCGUAAAAUUGCAGUUGAUACUGGAUAUCUUGAGUGCAGUUGAGGCAGGCGGAAUUCGUGGUGUAGCGGUGAAAUGCUUAGAUAUCACGAAGAACUCCGAUUGCGAAGGCAGCCUGCUAAGCUGCAACUGACAUUGAGGCUCGAAAGUGUGGGUAUCAAACAGGAUUAGAUACCCUGGUAGUCCACACGGUAAACGAUGAAUACUCGCUGUUUGCGAUAUACAGCAAGCGGCCAAGCGAAAGCGUUAAGUAUUCCACCUGGGGAGUACGCCGGCAACGGUGAAACUCAAGGGAAUUGACGGGGGCCCGCACAAGCGGAGGAACAUGUGGUUUAAUUCGAUGAUACGCGAGGAACCUUACCCGGGCUUAAAUUGCAGAUGAAUUACGGUGAAAGCCGUAAGCCGCAAGGCAUCUGUGAAGGUGCUGCAUGGUUGUCGUCAGCUCGUGCCGUGAGGUGUCGGCUUAAGUGCCAUAACGAGCGCAACCCUUGUUGUCAGUUACUAACAGGUCAUGCUGAGGACUCUGACAAGACUGCCAUCGUAAGAUGUGAGGAAGGUGGGGAUGACGUCAAAUCAGCACGGCCCUUACGUCCGGGGCUACACACGUGUUACAAUGGGGGGUACAGAGGGCCGCUACCACGCGAGUGGAUGCCAAUCCCAAAAACCUCUCUCAGUUCGGACUGGAGUCUGCAACCCGACUCCACGAAGCUGGAUUCGCUAGUAAUCGCGCAUCAGCCACGGCGCGGUGAAUACGUUCCCGGGCCUUGUACACACCGCCCGUCAAGCCAUGGGAGCCGGGGGUACCUGAAGUGCGUAACCGCGAGGAGCGCCCUAGGGUAAAACUGGUGACUGGGGCUAAGUCGUAACAAGGUA